rnacentral:rRNA from 1 species
AUUGAACGCUGGCGGCAGGCCUAACACAUGCAAGUCGAACGAGUGGCGGACGGGUGAGUAAUGUCUGGGCAACUGCCUGAUGGAUGGGGAUAACUACUGGAAACUGUAGCUAAUACCGCAUACCAUCGGAUGUGCCCAGAUGGGAUUAGCUAGUAGGUGGGGUAAUGGCUCACCUAGGCGACGAUCCGUAGCUGGUCUGAGAGGAUGACCAGCCACACUGGAACUGAGAAACGGUCCAGACUCCUACGGGAGGCAGCAGUGGGGAAUAUUGGACAAUGGGCGAAAGCCUGAUGCAGCCAUGCCGCGUGUGUGAAGAAGGCCUUCGGGUUGUAAAGUACUUUCAGUGGGGAGGCGUUACCCGCAGAAGAAGCACCGGCUAACUCCGUGCCAGCAGCCGCGGUAAUUC